ACGCUCGACACCUACGGAGGCAGCAGUGGGGAAUAUUGCACAAUGGGGGAAACCCUGAUGCAGCGACGCCGCGUGAGCGAAGAAGUAUUUCGGUAUGUAAAGCUCUAUCAGCAGGGAAGAAAAUGACGGUACCUGACUAAGAAGCCCCGGCUAACUACGUGUCAGCAGCCGCGGUAAUCUGAGCGGGCUGGCAAGGC
rnacentral:rRNA from 1 species